GACGAACGCUGGCGGCGGGCUUAACACAUGCAAGUCGAACGGAAAGGCCCUGCUUUUGUUGGGUGCUCGAGUGGCGAACGGGUGAGUAACACGUGAGUAACCUGCCCUUGACUUUGGGAUAACUUCAGGAAACUGGGGCUACUACCGGAUAGGAGCUCCUGCUGCAUGGUGGGGGUUGGAAAGUUUCGGCGGUUGGGGAUGGACUCGCGGCUUAUCAGCUUGUUGGUGGGGUAGUGGCUUACCAAGGCUUUGACGCGUAGCCGGCCUGAGAGGGUGACCGGCCACACUGGGACUGAGAUACGGUCCAGACUCCUACGGGAGGCAGCAGUGGGGAAUAUUGCACAAUGGGCGGAAGCCUGAUGCAGCAACGCCGCGUGCGGGAUGACGGCCUUCGGGUUGUAAACCGCUUUCGCCUGUGACGAAGCGUGAGUGACGGUAAUGGGUAAAGAAGCACCGGCUAACUACGUG
rnacentral:rRNA from 1 species